rnacentral:rRNA from 1 species
CCUACGGGUGGCUGCAGUGGGGAAUAUUGGACAAUGGGGGCAACCCUGAUCCAGCCAUGCCGCGUGUAUGAAGAAGGCCCUCGGGUUGUAAAGCACUUUCAGUGAGGAAGAACGCCUGGUGGUUAAUACCCAUCAGGAAAGACAUCACUCACAGAAGAAGCACCGGCUAACUCCGUGCCAGCAGCCGCGGUAAUACGGAGGGUGCGAGCGUUAAUCGGAAUUACUGGGCGUAAAGCGCGCGUAGGUGGCUUGAUAAGCCGGUUGUGAAAGCCCCGGGCUCAACCUGGGAACGGCAUCCGGAACUGUCAAGCUAGAGUGCAGGAGAGGAAGGUAGAAUUCCCGGUGUAGCGGUGAAAUGCGUAGAGAUCGGGAGGAAUACCAGUGGCGAAGGCGGCCUUCUGGACUGACACUGACACUGAGGUGCGAAAGCGUGGGUAGCAAACAGGAUUAGAUACCCCGGUAGUC